UGAACUAGCUAACUGGAAUCACGAGUGUGUCACUUGUGAUAACGUAAAGGAGAAUGAUGAUGUCACUUUACUAUUAGUGUUGUCCAAAGCUGGUGCCAGAAGACUCGGUAAUGCCAGAGACGCAAGCGUUAGUCAUCUUAAUCAGGCGUAAAGGGUGUGUAGGCAGCUUUAAAAAUCGUAUAAUUAAAGCUAGAAUCAUAUAGAGGUCACCGUGAGAUAACCCUUGGAGUAGGGUUGAUAUCUGCAAAUACUGAGUGGAAUUCUAAUUAGCGUAGGCUCUUUUCCAAAUAAUGAUUGACGCUGAGAAACGAAGGUGAGGAUCGACAAUAGGAUUAGAUACCCUGGCAUCCCUCUCUGUCAACGAUGAAUGGUGGUUGCUAGUUUUUAGGAGCUAGUGGCGAUGUUAACGCGUUAACCAUUCCGCCUUGUGAGUACAAUUGCAAAGUUGAAAACAAAAAAAUUAGUCGGUUUCGGAGCAAACG
rnacentral:rRNA from 1 species